rnacentral:tRNA from 1 species
AGAAACAUAGCUCAGUUGGUUAGAGCAACACGUUGACAUCGUGUAGGUCGCUGGUUCAAAUCCAGUUGUUUCUA